AGAAAGCUCCUCAGCUGCCAUUGUCUGCAGCUCAGCCAGAAGCUGCUGAUGUUCCUCUGUAGACAACUCCUGAAUGUUCUUCCACCAGCUCCUCAACAUCGCCACUGUCGACCUGUGAGCCAUGGACUCUGUUAUAGUGACAGUGUCCUCAACCACAGGUGAUCAAAUGUCCAUCUCCAGUACUUAAAGAUGGAAGACAGUUAUCCGGAUUUGGAAAAUCAUUUUACUACAAAGCCAUGGUUAAGUUUGAGUGCAUGGCGGGCUUUUACCUUAACGGCAGCGAUACCAUCAUGUGUGGCACUGAAAAUGCUUGGGAACCCUCCAUCCCGCAAUGUAUUAAAGGAUAUCCCAAUCCCCAUGAAGGACUCUUUGACCAAGAAUUAAGUUAGUAUUUUGGCUAUUAAUAAUAACUGCAUUAUGAAACCAUGCAGUUUACAUGGAAAUAUCGUAUAUUACAAUUACAGUCAGUUAAGUAAGAAACAGUGUCACAUAUUAUUGGUGUUAAGUAGCAUUUAGGGUUACUUUGGCUGUGUUGAUUCUGUGAAGAACAUGUGAUGGCAUGCAUAGCAGCGCAUCAAUAAGCACAGUUUCAUAACUGUGCCUCAACACAGGAGAGCAAAUUGGGGGAGCUCACGUCCUUAAAUGCUCUCAUUACAUGUAAGUGAAAAUACCUAAAAUACAAUCUGUUUUCCACAUGACAGGGUUAUUUUGCGAUGGCAAUUUGUAGAUAGAUUCCCGUCCUGUUCGCUGUCAUGCAUGCACCACCCUGUAGGUUGGGUUGGUAACAGGCCAGUCUAACACACUUAUGUGGAUCUACACAGUUCACAUCAUAGUAAAUGAACUAGUCAUGCCAGUUAACGGUCAAUGAAAUAUAACGAUUUCUUGGGCUGGGAAUUUAGCUCAGUGGUUCCGGUGCCUGCCUUGCAAGCACAAGGUCCCAAGUUCGAUCCCCAGUUCCACAAAAAAACAAAACAAAUAAAGAUUUCUUGAUGAGUGAAAGAAGACAAAAAUCGAUUUCUGUUUAUUAGACCAGUUUAGCAAUGAUUAGUCCUUUAAUGCAAUUCAUGUUAGGCUUAUUUUUUAGUAAACCAUCUUUCAGGCUCCAUGGAGACUGCUUCCGGGACUCCCUCUGACACCGAAAUGUGGGCACUCGAGACCCUCAUAUAAAAUGGCGUGAUAUUUACACACCACCAGGGCACCUUCUCCUGUGUACUGUGCCAUCUCUAGAUGCCUCAUAAUACCCAAUCCAGUAGAAAUAAUCAUGCUCUAUUGUUUAAGGAAUAAUGACAAGAAAACAGAGUCUGCACACACUUGGAACAGGCACAAUUUAUUCCCCAAAUAUUUUCAGUCCGCAGUUGACUGGAUCCAUGGAUUUGGAACCCAUAGAUACUCAGUACCAACUCUACAUUUGCUCCUUGACUUACAGUGGGGUUGCAUCCUGAUGAAACUGAGUGUAAAUUGAAGAUAUCCUAAGUUCAAAUACAUUGAAGGCCCCUAACUUACCAAUAUCAUAGCUUAGCAACACUGCAGAGACUUCUGGUUGUUUACUUUUGUGAUCUUGUGGCCCGCCACCCCGUGCAGCAUCCUGAGAUUCUGUCACACGUCCUAUUGCCAACCCAGGAAAAGUCAAAAUUCAAAGUUUUUCCUCUACUCUAAUGAAUGCUAAUGUUCCAGUAACCUUUGCUAAAUAACCUGAGGGGGUAACUAUAAGACAAAACAUGGCAGAGUAAAGUUUCUAUUAAAGAUUUCCACAAAUUGGACCCAAAAUCCGAAAACUGGCUUAGAAGGGUUCAGUGAGCAAAAUGAUUUAGUGGCCAAACAUGGCAGCCCACGCCUGUAACACUGGCAGUCAGAAGGCUGAGGCAGGCAGAUCCCUGUGCAUCAGAGGCCAAGUUGGACUACACAGUGAGCAAAAGAAAAACAAAGAACAACCUCCUAGAUGUACUAGUGGCCAUGCUAAAAUUAACUAAACUUUUCUUCACUCUAAUGUUUAGAAGAGCUGAGCUGAAUAAAAUGGAGCCAUUGUCUAGAUCCACACUUAUCCAACAUGUUCUGUUUUCAUAUUUUCGUAGAUGUGUGGAUCAGUCUUCUCAUGCUUCUUGUUCUAGGUAAAUAUCCCAAUUUUGAAUACUAUUCCAGAGAAGUGCAGUUUUAACAUAGGUGUUCACUUCUGUAGUUCCUAGAGCUUGAGAUUAAGCAGACCAACCUAGAUUGAGACCAGCCUGGCCAAUUUAGCAAUUUAUUGAGACUCUGUCUCAAAUUAGAAAAGUGAAAAAGGGCUGGGGAAGGCCCUGGGUUCAAUGCCCAGUACUGCACAGGGAAAGAACAAAAAAGGUGGGAAAGCAACCUAGAAAAGCUCGUCUUUAUUUAUAUAGUACCCUUUGCUUUGGCUGAUUUUAUAUUCUUUGUAUCCUGUACAUAUACUUAAAAAGAAGGCCUAAAAACAAUGUGUUUUCCUAAGAUGAUGCGAUCAGAGUUUGCUUCUUAAAUAUGCUUUUGGCAAUUUUCUAAGUCGAGCCAGUGCUCUUCUUUGACCUACUGUCUACUGUGUAAGUAAUUCCAGGGAGCUGGAUGUAGAUAAUGAAGAAUUCAGGUGGAAUAUAAACUAUAGAUGCUUACAUAAAAUACCAUAGUCUAACAUAUAAAUAUCACCAGCAUUGUUUCUUCUGCUUAGAUUUUGAGUCCUGGUUAUUAGUUUUCAGUCACGUUAUUUAUUUACUGUUUUCCUUUAGUUGUUGCAGUGGCUGUACUUCCUCUUUUUGUGCACAGAUGCGUUGAACACCAUAAUAAAAGGUAAAUAUAAGCACAUUUCUUCUAGCUUAUUGGUCCUUAUCCUUCACUCGCUUUUAUGCAGCCCAAGUUUGCACUUCGUACUGGUAGAGUCUUUUUCCAACUGCGCCUGCAUUGAUGUGUCCUCUGGAUUGCAUUUCUUUGCUAAAAUAUUUUCAGCUAUAUUUUUAACAUCAUUGCAAACAUGAGGAAUCUGAGCAGUUUCAUCAGUGCUGUUGUAAGAACAGUUUCUGUAGGGUGUGAGGUUUAAGUCCCUUAGUGAGGCCUCUCCCACCCUAGGUAUCUGCUGUUUCCUAAAUGGGAUGAGUGACCAAAAUUAAAGUAUUGCACUCUGGAGACUUUAACAGUUGUAGUCACUGGAAUCUCUAUGAUGAACGUUUCCGUUUGUAUAAUUUAGCUGGUUGUAAUGAGAUAUGUAGUGUCAUAUUAAAAUUCCCAAUUUGAUUUCUUUUCAUCUAGAGUUGUUAUCUAUAAAUGUUAAACUGGGGGCUAAAAACCAACACUAGUUGAUUUCUCUCUUAUGUUCUUUUAAUUUACUAGAUUGCAUUAUAAGGACCCAGGGGCUCAAGUUGCUGAGGGUAGCUCCAUUAACUUUUAGCUAUCUUUUUCUCUAUAAAAAUAAAAGCAGAGCAGAAAAAAAUAUAUGAAUACAUAUCUUUUAAUGAAAACAGGGUUUUUAAGUAUCAAAUUUAAAUUGUGACAAAAGAAUUUACAAUUUAAUGGAAGAUUCAGAAUAAAUCCUGGAGUAUGGGCCAAGAUUAGACUGAAAUAUGUAUUUUUAUUUUUUCCCUGUAGCUUUAAAAAUAGCUUUGAAGUCAAGUAAUUUUAAGACUUCUGUUGCUUCUGGGUUCUUUUGCUUUUAUAUUAAUAUUCAGAUUUGGGCUAUAUAAUAAAAGUAUAUUCUUGUCAUAAAAACCUCAAACUUUUCAUAUUUCUGGGUUAACUUUUAAAAUAUUCAUAAUUCCUUCAUUUGAUCUUACAAAUCUUGUACUUAUGAAACACAUAAUAUUCUUAUUUGAUUUUUCUGCAAGUUUUUAAAAAUUAUAUAUACAACAAUGUGAAUAGAAAAUAUUAUCAGUGGAAAAGUUUUAUGAGUCUAAAAGGUUUGUACAGAAAUAACUUCUAGCAAUACCAAAACAAAACAGCUUUCUGCUCAUUUCCUUUUUUGUUUAAAACAUCACUCCAUCAAAAUUCUUAAAGAUUCCCAACAAAUGUUAAUCAGACUCUCUCUAGAGGGGUCUGUUAACUCUAAGCAAUUACCUGACUAUUACACUCACAAAUUAAAGGUUCAAAUGCAAUAGUAAUUUGAAAUUUCAAAAUUAAUUUUUAUUAUUUUUAUUAAAAGCCGCUAUGUUAUAACACAGGGCUCCAACAGAAAACUGCCUUAUUAAAAUUUUAAUAUAUUUUGGAAAGAUAUUUUACCUUUAACCAAUGCAACCUAAUUAAUCCCAUGUGCAUUAGCACGACUUGACAAAAUUACAAAGAAUGGCGUGGAAAGGGUGAUUCUUAAUUGCCUUUGAACUGAAGUGUAGAUUGUAUGGGAAUCUUUUAGGGUUUCCUUUGCUGUUUUUGUGACAGAAACAUACUCAGUAGAACAUGUAAUGGCUGAACCACCAGUUAGGUUCUUUCAAAUGCUCAGGAGAGAGAAGUUAGAUUCUUAACUUCCAGACUGCCUGGCUUCAAGGCCCUGAGGUCCGUGCAUCCCCCUGGCCGCUGAAGGUCCCCUCCUGAGGGUUUGCACCUCCUCCUGAGAGCCCAGAGUGGUGCUCCUCUAACUGCAUGUGCCCGCGAAUGACCUGCAGAUCUGGUAAAAAGCAGAUGCGGACACUGGGUCUGGGGCGGAGCUGGAGCCUCUCAUCUCUCCUGCACACCGGGGUCAUGCUGCUUUACUGCCCUGACCGAGGCUCGGAGUACCCAGGCUAUGACUGUCAGCGACAGAGCCACAGUGUCCACAUAAAGCUGAAGGCACGGUCCAGCUUCUUGCCAGGUCUAAGACCACUGGAGCUUUAAAGACUCUACAUCUAUGUAUGUAUCUUAAAAGGGUCAUUACUCUUGUUAAACCACCCCAGCAUAGGUGAGAGCUGUUAAAGUUAUGCAAAUCAUUUGCUUCAUUCAUAUUCUCAAUUAUCUGUGCCAGAACAGUGUUUUUCUAUUAACCAUAUUUACUUUUAGCUAUACCCUAAACCCACUUUUAAUGUGAUACUAACAUGGGCAGAUUCAAUUACUUUGUCCUUUUUAAGCUAUCUGCUUAAAUGAUUGUUUCCUUCAGUGAGACAUACUCGUCUUGGCUCAGACGGCUUAAAAAUUCAGACCAGAAACUGGUAGGACAUGGGGCAAAACCAAUCACAUCAAAUCAAGCAUUUUUUUCUAGUUGGCUCUCAAAUUUUUUAGCAUUCAACAAAGCUUUCUAAAUUUUGAAACAAAAAAUAGUGUGUAACGAAAGAUUGCAUUGUUAGUUUAGGAAGCAUAGUAAUGAAAUUAAAGCCAUCCCAGAAAUUGGGGGGGGGGGCGUGCAAUACAUUUUACAAGAGCUUUCCCUCAAGUUGAAAACCAAAUGUCCCAGGAAGAAACUGUACUCAAUGUAAAAAGUCAGGGUGCCUCUUAAAACUAUAUGACACGUCAUAAAAUUGAUUUCUAAGACAGUCUGACUCAGAUUUAAUAAAUUGUAUGUAUUCUCUUAAAAUCGAGGGUGUUAGAGACCUCGCCCAUUUCUCCUUACACAGUGUUACUCUUUGAAAGAAUUUUUACAAUAUUUGCUUUGUGUAAAAUGGUUUCAAAGGUAAACGUACUGGACAGAAAUUUAGAAUUUGUUCAUCUGCUGGGUGAUGCGUAAGACUUCAAAGUAGCCGGGUACCAAAUCCAUGCUGAGAGCCAGAAAACCUGGCCAAUUUAUGCACCUCAUGCUCAGCUCCACUCUCUUCCAUCAUUGAUUUACCUCACAUACUGCCCUUGCUUCUUUUUGGAUUGAUGCCUCUGUCUUAUUCAGCCUUUUUCCUUUCCUUUGUCCAGCACAAAGCUAACUGAUGACAGCCACAAAGAAAUAAAAUUUACUUCUCUCUGAAUAGAAGAGAUGAGAGAAAGGUUUGCUUUCAUCAUUAAAAGGUAUCUGCUUUCUGUGUGUUUCUCUGUACCAAUGUCCUUUGUUCUGAAAAAUAUUCAGUGGGAAUUUAGAUAUCGAUAACCUGAGCCCAGAGAGGUUAGCAGUAAACGUCAAAGAGGAAACUUAGAUCUCCAUGCCUUUGGCCAAUUACUGAUGUUUUCUUAGACCAUUACUUAGAUUUGGCAUAAUGUGUGCUGACAGGAUUUGCUCGGACAUGGGCUUGCGCAGAAGUCUGUUCCCUUUGCCUUUAUCAGACUGUCCACUUGCCUACACUAUCUAGAGUAGCUCAGAAUCCAAAAAGGAACUGUUGCGCCCAGUGGGAGUAAUCACCAGAACCAGUUCAUUUAAUUUCAAAGAGGGGGAAAAAUGCUCUUUUAGGGCUGGGGAUUUAGCUCAGUGGUUCUGCCACCUGCCUCACAAGCACAAGGUCCCGAGUUCAAUCCCUGGUACCGAAAAAAAAAAAAAAAAGAAAGAAAUGGCAUAGUAUUCCAUUGUGUAUAAAAAAUGCUCUUUUACAAAAACCAAAAUAUAUUUUAUUUAAUUUUGUAAAUGUAUUCUAUUGCAAUAUGUGAAUAACUGAAAACAUUUGCUUCCCUGAACCAGAAUAUAUUUAGCAUAUUAAAGAAAAUCAGAAAAACACUGAGACUUUGAAAAAUCCUGAAUUGCUUUGCCCUCCACCCUUUGGUCCCACGCACCUUCGGCCUCCAACUGAAAUGAAUCCCAAGUGCUUCCCUGCCUAUGCUACAGAGUGUGUCUAUUCGGCUGGAAGAAUGUUGCCUUUCUAAGCGACUCUAUUCUAGUUCACAAGCAAGAGUUUGGGAGCAGGACCUGCAAAGGCCAAAGGGAGACACGAUUUCUUAGUAAAAACAAGGUUGUGUUUCUGAGCAUGGCCAGAGUGGAGGAUCGCACACCAACUAGAAGUGGCAGUCUGGCCCUAGCCAGUUCUCUAGGCUCUGUCUCCUGUGACAACCUGAGGUGAAAGCCAGUGAGUAGCUUUUAGACUCUCUGAAGCUUCAGGGAGUCCGAACAUUUGAAGAUCAUUUAAUGAACCCUGAGGGUAGCACAAAAUAACCUUGAUUAGUAAUUUAGUUUCACACUUUUAUUCCAGACAACUUUGUUGACACGUCAAAUAUUUUAAAUUUAUAUUAAUGCUUUUUAUCUUUCUCAAAUAUCAAAUCCCCUUUUAAAAAUUCUAUGUAGGGCCAGGGAUUUAGCUCAGUGGUUUCCCCGCCUGCUGCGCAAGCACAAGGACCUGAGUUCGAUCCCCAAUACCAAAAAGAAAAAAUUUGUAUGUAAAGGAUUCUACUUCUACAGAAGAAGAAAGUGCUGGAAAAUACAGCAGACUUGAAGAAUUUAGUGUUAGGCCAAGCUAUGCAGGCACUUCAGCAUUCCUUAGAAACAGUCCUAACACUGACCACUGGGGUGCACAGCUGCAAUCCCAGCCCUCUGGAGGGCUGAGGCAGGUGGAUUUCAGCUGAGAGACCACCCUGGGCCACUCGGCAAAACCUGGUCUCACUAAAAUACAGUGAGGCUGGGCUGUCGCUCAGGGGUAGAGCAUUUGCCCAGCUUGCCCAAGGUCCUGUGUUCAACUUCCAGCACGGCAUUUAUAUACAUGUACCUGUAUUUAAUACCAGUUAUGCAAACUGCUAGCCGACAGGCAGGGGUAGACUGCAGUGUACAGCCCUGGGUCACCCCAAGGCCUUCAGAAGUGACCCGUCCAACAUAAGAGGUGCUGAGAGUAUAAAGGACACACAGUGUCCAAGACAUAGGACAGAGGAGAGUGACAUGAAUGUCAAAACUCAUUCACAACAUUUGAUACCUACAUGGGGUUAAAUACUAUUAAUUCCGCCUGUUUUCUUCCGCCUGUUUUCAAUGUGUCCUCUAGAAAACGUGCGUAUGUGAAUGCCUCGGGCAGCACUGGGCGUGAGUAGGUUUUACAAAGCUGCCCACUGUCAAACAGCGUAUGGCGGAAACUCGCGCUAUCGAGGGAACACAGGAUCUGGCUCGGGCUGAGGGAGGCCGUCCCAGCACUGUGAGAAUCACCAGCUUCCGCAGAGUUCAUCUCAGAGCUCUCGACGCCGAUUCGGGAUGGUCAGGAAGCAUGUGUCUCUCUCCAGCCUUCCCCACUGGCCCUAAGUCAAAGUGAGGAGAUAUUUACUAAGUACUCUGUGUGCUGCUGCUCUACUUGUUUUGGAAGGGAUUAAAAAUGUAACACAGGAAAAAAAAAA